rnacentral:tRNA from 1 species
GCGGAAGUGGCGAAAUGGGUAGACGCACCAGAUUUAGGUUCUGGCGCCGCGAGGCGUAAGAGUUCAAGUCUCUUCUUCCGCACCA